CCUAAAUACUAAUACCAGAUCGAUAGUGCACAAGUACCGUGAGGGAAAGGUGAAAAGAACUGAGGUGAUCAGAGUGAAAUAGAACCUGAAACCAUUUGCUUACAAUCAUUCAGAGCCCUAUGUAGCAAUACAGGGUGAUGGACUGCCUUUUGCAUAAUGAGCCUGCGAGUUGUGGUGUCUGGCAAGGUUAAGCAAACGCGAAGCCGUAGCGAAAGCGAGUCUGAAUAGGGCGCUUAGUCAGAUGCUGCAGACCCGAAACGAAGUGAUCUAUCCAUGAGCAAGUUGAAGCUAGUGUAAGAACUAGUGGAGGACUGAACCCAUAGGCGUUGAAAAGCCCCGGGAUGACUUGUGGAUAGGGGUGAAAGGCCAAUCAAACUUCGUGAUAGCUGGUUCUCUCCGAAAUAUAUUUAGGUAUAGCGUUGUGUCGUAAUAUAAGGGGGUAGAGCACUGAAUGGGCUAGGGCAUACACCAAUGUACCAAACCCUAUCAAACUCCGAAUACCUUAUAUGUAAUCACAGCAGUCAGGCGGCGAGUGAUAAAAUCCGUCGUCAAGAGGGAAACAACCCAGACUACCAGCUAAGGUCCCUAAAUCUUACUUAAGUGGAAAACGAUGUGAAGUUACUUAAACAACCAGGAGGUUGGCUUAGAAGCAGCCAUCCUUUAAAGAAAGCGUAAUAGCUCACUGGUCUAGUGAUUUUGCGCGGAAAAUAUAACGGGGCUAAAGUAAGUACCGAAGCUGUAGACUUGCGCACAACUUAGAUUAUUUAAGUUUAGAAUAUGAGAAACUAAGUUAUAUGUUUAGUUAUAUUUUUACUGAUUUUUAUAGAGUAAAGAUAGAAAUAAAACUUAGUAAAAUCAGUAAAAAUAUUCUUAGACUAAAGUUAAGUAGUUUAAGUUGUGUGCAAGUGGUAGGAGAGCGUUCUAUUUGCGUCGAAGGUAUACCGGUAAGGAGUGCUGGAGCGAAUAGAAGUGAGCAUGCAGGCAUGAGUAGCGAUAAUUAAUGUGAGAAUCAUUAACGCCGUAAACCCAAGGUUUCCUACGCGAUGCUCGUCAUCGUAGGGUUAGUCGGGUCCUAAGUCGAGUCCGAAAGGGGUAGACGAUGGCAAAUUGGUUAAUAUUCCAAUACCAACAUUAGUGUGCGAUGGAAGGACGCUUAGGGCUAAGGGGGCUAGCGGAUGGAAGUGCUAGUCUAAGGUCGUAGGAGGUUAUACAGGCAAAUCCGUAUAACAAUACUCCGAGAACUGAAAGGCUUUUUGAAGUCUUCGGAUGGAUAGAAGAACCCCUGAUGCCGUCGAGCCAAGAAAAGUUUCUAAGUUUAGCUAAUGUUGCCCGUACCGUAAACCGACACAGGUGGGUGGGAUGAGUAUUCUAAGGCGCGUGGAAGAACUCUCUUUAAGGAACUCUGCAAAAUAGCACCGUAUCUUCGGUAUAAGGUGUGGUUCGCUUCGUAUUAGGAUUUACUCCGAAAGCGAAGAAACUUACAACAAAGAGUCCCUCCCGACUGUUUACCAAAAACACAGCACUCUGCUAACUCGUAAGAGGAUGUAUAGGGUGUGACGCCUGCCCGGUGCUCGAAGGUUAAUUGAUGGGGUUAGCAUUAGCGAAGCUCUUGAUCGAAGCCCGAGUAAACGGCGGCCGUAACUAUAACGGUCCUAAGGUAGCGAAAUUCCUUGUCGGUUAAAUACCGACCUGCAUGAAUGGCGUAACGAGAUGGGAGCUGUCUCAAAGAGGGAUCCAGUGAAAUUGUAGUGGAGGUGAAAAUUCCUCCUACCCGCGGCAAGACGGAAAGACCCCGUGGACCUUUACUACAGCUUGACACUGCUA
rnacentral:rRNA from 1 species